rnacentral:misc_RNA from 1 species
GCAAACUUGGUCAUUUAGAGGAAGUAAAAGUCGUAACAAGGUUUCCGUAGGUGAACCUGCGGAAGGAUCAUUAUCGAGUUAGGGUCUUCUCAGGCCCGACCUCCCAACCCUUUGUUUACUGAACCACUGUUGCUUCGGCGGGCCCGUCGUUCACGCGACCGCCGGAGGACUGCGAAAUCAGCCCUCUGGCCCGCGCCCGCCGGUGGCCAACGUUUAUAAACUCUUGAAUGAAUCGUGUUUAUUCUCUGAGUAACAUUUAUUAAAUUAAAGCAAAACUUUCAACAACGGAUCUCUUGGUUCUGGCAUCGAUGAAGAACGCAGC